GCCAGACUCCUACGGGAGGCAGCAGUGGGGGAUAUUGCACAAUGGGGGCAACCCUGAUGCAGCGACGCCGCGUGAGCGAUGGAGUACUUCGGUAUGUAAAGCUCUGUCAGCAGGGAAGAGAAUGACGGUACCUGACCAAGAAGCCCCGGCUAAAUACGUGCCAGCAGCCGCGGUAAUACGUAUGGGGCAAGCGUUAUCCGGAUUUACUGGGUGUAAAGGGCGUGUAGGCGGGACUGCAAGUCAGAUGUGAAAGCCACGGGCUCAACCUGUGGCCUGCAUUUGAAACUGUUGGUCUUGAGUAUCGGAGAGGCAGGCGGAAUUCCUAGUGUAGCGGUGAAAUGCGUAGAUAUUAGGAGGAACACCAGUGGCGAAGGCGGUCUGCUGGACAGCAACUGACGCUGAGGCGCGAAAGCGUGGGGAGCAAACAGGAUUAGAUACCCCCGUA
rnacentral:rRNA from 1 species